AAAAAUACAGGCCCUCACAGUAUAAAACAUCCAGAUUGACUUCAGCUUAAACAUAAAUUGAACAAAGCUCUUGUGAUUCGUUCAAAGCAGGAAUAUGCAAUCGUCGUCGAUACUUUGUUUGCUUCUUAUUUUCUCGUGUAUAACUCUGACCGUUCAGCUGAAGUUAUGUUCUCAAACUUGCUAUGGUUGUAAAGGGUGUUGUGCUGGAAGAGGCUGCAGUUCUCCGAAUUCUUGGAGUUGUGUGAACAAUAAAUGUUAUUGUGAUUGUGGAGGAUAUUUCUUAAAGAUUAAUAAGAAGUAAAAGAAAACUGAAACCAGCAAAUAUUAGUAACGAUUAAUUUGAACUCAUUGUAAGAUGUAAACCUUACCAAUAUAUACGGAGUAUUAUAUGAA